GACGAACGCUGGCGGCGUGCUUAACACAUGCAAGUCGAACGAUGAAACCUAGCUUGCUAGGUCGAUUAGUGGCGAACGGGUGAGUAACACGUGACUAACCUGCCCCUUUCUCUGGGAUAACGCUCCGAAAGGAGUGCUAAUACCGGAUACUCACAUCGAGGCACAUGCCUUGGUGUGGAAAGUUUUUCGGAAAGGGAUGGAGUCGCGGCCUAUCAGCUUGUUGGUGGGGUGAUGGCCUACCAAGGCGACGACGGGUAGCCGGCCUGAGAGGGUGACCGGCCACACUGGGACUGAGCUACGGCCCAGACUCCUACGGGAGGCAGCAGUGGGGAAUAUUGCACAAUGGGCGCAAGCCUGAUGCAGCGACGCCGCGUGAGGGAUGACGGCCUUCGGGUUGUAAACCUCUUUCAGCACCGACGAAGCGCAAGUGACGGUAGGUGCAGAAGAAGGACCAGCCAACUACGUGCCAGCAGCCGCAGUAA
rnacentral:rRNA from 1 species